GUGGUUGUUAGAUAUUUUAUAUUUAAUGAAGAUAAAAAUGUACUUCCCUUGCAAGGAACUGUAUACAAAGCAAACAUACACUUUGAAUAAAAUAAAUUUGGUCAUAAUGGUCAUGGAAAUAGAUUGAAAAAGUCACUGAAAAAGUUGGUCAGCAUUUCCACCUGGAAAACAAGCUUUUUGCAACUUUCCUAGAUCAUGAGC
rnacentral:lncRNA from 1 species